AACCGGAGCUAAUACCGGAUAAUAUUAUGAACCGCAUGGUUACAAAAGUGAAAGACGGUCUUGCUGUCACUUAUGGAUGGAUCCGCGCUGCAUUAGCUAGUUGGUAAGGUAACGGCUUACCAAGGCAACGAUGCAUAGCCGACCUGAGAGGGUGAUCGGCCACACUGGAACUGAGACACGGUCCAG
rnacentral:rRNA from 1 species